rnacentral:rRNA from 1 species
CAGUCGCCGCGGGAAUACGUAAGUGGCAAGCGUUGUCCGGAAUUAUUGGGCGUAAAGGGCUCGCAGGCGGUUUCUUAAGUCUGAUGUGAAAGCCCCCGGCUCAACCGGGGAGGGUCAUUGGAAACUGGGAAACUUGAGUGCAGAAGAGGAGAGUGGAAUUCCACGUGUAGCGGUGAAAUGCGUAGAGAUGUGGAGGAACACCAGUGGCGAAGGCGACUCUCUGGUCUGUAACUGACGCUGAGGAGCGAAAGCGUGGGGAGCGAACAGGAUUAGAUACCCGUGUAGUCCCUGUCUCUUAUAC